ensembl:lncRNA
GCUGCGUUCAGGGGAUCUAGGUGUUUGAGGGUGUGGGCUGGAAAGUGAACUGCGUUCAGGGGAUCUAGGUGUUUGAGGGUGUGGGCUGGAAAGUGAGCUGCGUUCAGGGGAUCUAGGUGUUUGAGGGUGUGGGCUGGAAAGUGAGCUGCGUUCAGGGGAUCUAGGUGUUUGAGGGUGUGGGCUGGAAAGUGAGCUGCGUUCAGGGGAUCUAGGUGUUUGAGGGUGUGAGUUGAGAGCAGACGUUACAGUUAUGGUGAUGGUUAAGGUUAUGGUUUGGGUAGGGACAUCCCAAGAAUACCAGAUAGCACCAACACUGUGUUAUGAUUGUAUUAUGACACGUUUUGUAAAUCAUGGUAGGAAUUACUGGUAUUGUAGUAUUGAAUGUCAAUGUUUUCUUCAUUUCUGUCAAUAAAC